UUUUCUUUUUCGGUAACCAAUCAAAUCAAAAUCAAAGCAGAGAUCGAAUUGGAGACGGAGAAAAAGAGGCGGCAUUUCUCUCUCUUUCUCUAAAGCCAACUUGCAACGUCUCCUUCUCAUCUUCUUUUAGGUAAAAUCAGUAAAGAAAGAGUGUAGAGACAUAUACAUACGCAAGGUCAAACUUUCUCACCUCCAUUCACCAAACGCCUUUCUUACUCAAGCGCCUCCGACUUUUCGACCAAGCAGAUCAGACAUUUUAUGGAUAAAGCCAGACUUGGAAACGGGGCUCCUGAAGAAGUGACUCGUGAGUCGCUUAUCGCCAUUUCUUACCCUGAACCAGAGAAGAUUAUCACUUCAAAUCUCUCAUCUGGAAAGCUGAAUGGUGGAAAGCUGAACGGUGGAAAGCUGAAUGGUGAAGCUCUGGUUAAAACGAUAGUUUCUGAUGGAGAAGAUAAGUUCAGGUCUGAGCUGAUCUCUAUUUCCUACACCCAGUCACCCGAAGUUGGAUCCUUACCUGUUAACCAUGGGAGAACUUAAAGACUAGGCUGGAAGCCCUUUCUGUAUUGAUAUAAUCAAGUGAUACUGUGUGCAUGGACUUGUAUUCCGUGGAAGCUUUUACAUAUUCUGUAAAAUAAACCUAACAGUUCCUUGGGACAAUGAAUGGAAAUGCAUUUCUGUCUGGCUUCUUUCUUACC